AUUCCAACGGGGUACUGCUGGAGCCCUAGGGUUGAUGGGGUCAUCUCCAAUCUGCUGCGGAUUUUUCUCCGACGGGUUGGCAGGCAGAUGGAACAAGGGCUGGAGGACUUUAAAAAAGCAACUUCUCAGGCCAAGGGAGGGUGUGUUAAUUUGGGCGCUUCUUGGAUUCUACCCUGAGGAGGAGGCGCAUGGUGAGAGGAGAGAUCUUGAUCUGCCGCUCGCUGAGGUUCAGCAGGUUGGCCAUCUCCACGCGGCGCGGCCGGCACAGGUAGCGGUUGAAGUGGAACUCCUUCUCCAGCUCCACCAGCUGCGCGCUCGUGUACGCCGUCC